rnacentral:lncRNA from 1 species
UCGGAGUUACUAUUCACUUAAGUGAAAACUAAUAAUCGCGUAACUCCUCCGUUUUAGCUCAUUUUGUCCUGAAACUUGACGAGUACUUAUAUAAUUAAAUUACACACAUAAACAUCAUCAACAGAGAGUUUAGUUGCACUGUAAAAAUCUCAGUCCUUACAGCUUAUUUGCAAAUGUAACAGCCUAUAUAAACCCCCAACCUCUCUUUUCUCUUGUUCCUAACUAAGAACUCAUCUCCUCUCCUAUUUUCUCCCUCUCCCUCUCUAGAAACUCUACUCCAAGGUGGAAAUGAGGAGAUCAAGAGGAGGAUUUGGAGGAGAUUUUGGAGAUUGGAAGAUCUAAAGCUCUCCUACAAGGUGGAG